CAGCAACUCAAUACUCUUCGACAUCCUCCUCUUAGGCCUCAACAAUAUAGAUAUGAGGUGAUGCACAUAUGGAGGAGAUUGUACAGAGACUUUGGAGCUAGUGAUCUCAGAGCUUUCGAGACACCGCUCAUAAUACUAUCAUUGAGAUUCCUCGAGAUCUGCAUCUGUACGAUCAAUUAGGCUCGUUGUCACAGCCAUC
rnacentral:lncRNA from 1 species